rnacentral:snRNA from 13 species
AAACUUGCCUGGUGCCGGGUUAUGUGUGAUCAGGAAUGCUCUGACCCCCGGGUGGAGGUUCACCAUUGUACAUCGGUGGGUUGAAACUCUCGACGAACCCUAUUCGGGUGCGCUCGGGCGUGUAGUUUAUAUAUAUAUAGUGAGCUGAAGGACCUUAUG